rnacentral:rRNA from 1 species
UGGGGAAUAUUGCACAAUGGGCGCAAGCCUGAUGCAGCCAUGCCGCGUGUAUGAAGAAGGCCUUCGGGUUGUAAAGUACUUUCAGCGGGGAGGAAGGCGAUAAGGUUAAUAACCUUGUCGAUUGACGUUACCCGCAGAAGAAGCACCGGCUAACUCCGUGCCAGCAGCCGCGGUAAUACGGAGGGUGCAAGCGUUAAUCGGAAUUACUGGGCGUAAAGCGCUCGCAGGCGGUCUGUCAAGUCGGAUGUGAAAUCCCCGGGCUCAACCUGGGAACUGCAUUCGAAACUGGCAGGCUAGAGUCUUGUAGAGGGGGGUAGAAUUCCAGGUGUAGCGGUGAAAUGCGUAGAGAUCUGGAGGAAUACCGGUGGCGAAGGCGGCCCCCUGGACAAAGACUGACGCUCAGGUGCGAAAGCGUGGGGAGCAAACA